UUACGGCCAUAUCACGUUGAAAUACCUGUUCACGUAUGAUCACCAAAGCUAAGCAACAUCAAGCCUGGUCAGUACUGGAUGGGUAACUGCUUUGGAAUACCAAGUGCUGUAA